rnacentral:rRNA from 1 species
UCAAGCGAACAAGGGCGCAGGGCGAAUGCCUUGGCACUGGGAGCCGAUGAAAGACGUGAUAAGCUGCGAUAAGCUUCGGGGAGCUGCAAAUAAGCAUUGAUCCGGAGAUUUCUGAAUGAGGAAACUCACCUGGGUUCAUACUCAGGUACGUUAUACUGAACUUCAAAAUAGGUAUAUCGAGGGAACCGCCUGAACUGAAACAUCUAAGUAGGGCGAGGAAGAGACAUCAAACGAGAUUCCGUAAGUAGUGGCGAGCGAACGCGGAAGAGGGCAAACCGAGAGUAGAAAUACUUUCGGGGUACGGACUGCUUUUAGGACUUAAUCUGUUAACCGAACGGCAUGGGAAGGCCGGUCAGAGAGUGUGAGAACCACGUAGGUGAAAACGGAGAGAGCUGCGCAGGAUCCAGAGUACGGCCAGACACGUGAAACCUGGUCGGAAUACGGGGGGACCACCCUCCAACCCUAAAUACUACCCAGUGACCGAUAGCGUAUAGUACUGUGAAGGAAAGGUGAAAAGCACCCCGGGAGGGGAGUGAAAAAGAACCUGAAACCCUGUGCCUACAAGCACCUAGAGCGCGUCAAAGCGUGAUAGGGUACUUUUUGUAGAACGGUCCGGCGAGCGAUUGUAUGCAGCAAGGUUAAGGACUUAAGGUCUGGAGCCGAAGCGAAAGCGAGUUUGAAAAGGGCGUUAAGUUGCAUAUAAUGGGCCCGAAACCGGGUGACCUACCCAUGGUCAGGUUGAAGUGGAAGUAAAAUUCCAUGGAGGACCGAACCGACCUCCGUUGAAAAGGCGGCGGAUGAACUGUGGGUAGCGGAGAAAUUCCAAUCGAACCCGGAGAUAGCUGGUUCUCCCCGAAAUAGUUUUAGGACUAGCCUCAAGUUAGAUACCUGGAGGUAAAGCACUGAAUAGCCUAGCGGCCGAGAGGUUAGCGAAGCUUAUCAAACUCAGAAUGCCAGAGUAUUGAUGCUUGGGAGUCAGACAGUGUCAGAUAAAUGUCAUUGUCAAAAGGGAAACAGCCCAGAUCUACAGCUAAGGUCCCAAAGUCAGGUUAAGUGGAAAACGAUGUGAAGAUACGUAGACAACCAGGAUGUUGGCUCAGAAGCAGCCACUCAUUCAAAGAGUGCGUAAUAGCUCACUGGUCGAGCGUCUUUGCGCGGAGAAUUUAACGGGGCUAAACCUGACACCGAAGCUUAGGCAGCAUGUUUACAUGCUGGGUAGGGGAGCGUUGUAUACGCGGUGAAACAGUAGCGCAAGCGGCUGUGGAGUGUAUAGAAGUGAGAAUGCCGGAAUGAGUAGCGCGAAUGCAGUGAGAAUCUGCAUGGCCGAAAGCCUCAGGUUUCUGGAGGAAGGUUCGUCCGCUCCAGGUUAGUCGGGAGCUAAGGUGAGGCCUAACGGCGUAGCCGAUGCACAGACGGUAGAGAUUCCGUCACCACCAAAAGAGUUAAACACAGGGACACAUAUGAAGUCUCGGAGCCGGGUGUUGGUUCCGGUAGCGAUCGAGGGAAGUUAGUACCGAAGUCCGGGAUGGAAGAUGGCGAGAAAAGCUGUGUGUAUUUCUGCGGUGCCCGUACCGCAAACCGACACAGGUAGGUAGGAAGAAGAUUCUAAGGCCAACGGGAGAAGGGUUGUUAAGGAACUCGGCAAAUUGACCCCGUAACUUCGGGAGAAGGGGUGCUGCAGCAAUGCAGCCGCAGAGAAUCGGCCCAAGCAACUGUUUACCAAAAACACAGGUUUGUGCUAAAUCGAAAGAUGACGUAUACGAGCUGACGCCUGCCCGGUGCUGGAAGGUUAAGAGGAGAUGUGCAAGCAUUGAAUCGAAGCCCCAGUGAACGGCGGCCGUAACUAUAACGGUCCUAAGGUAGCGAAAUUCCUUGUCAGGUAAGUUCUGACCCGCAUGAAAGGCGUAAUGAUUUGGGCACUGUCUCAACAGCCCGCCCGGCGAAAUUGUAGUACCGGUGAAGAUGCCGGUUACCCGCGACAAGACGGAAAGACCCCAUGGAGCUUUACUGUAGCCUAAUAUUGGGUUUCGAUGUUGCAUGCACAGGAUAGAUGGGACACUGGGAAGCAGGUGCUUUGGCGCUUGUGGAGUGGCCGUUGGGAUACCAUCCUUGCGAUAUUGGAAUUCUAACCUGCGCCUUUGAAUCAAGGCGGGGGACAUUGUUAGGUGGGCAGUUUGACUGGGGCGGUCGCCUCCUAAAGAGUAACGGAGGCGUUCAAAGGUUCGCUCAGCUUGAACGGAAAUCAAGCAAAAGAGUGCAAACGCAGAAGCGAGCCUAACUGCGAGACUGACGGGUCGAGCAGUAACGAAAGUUGGAGUUAGUGAUCCGGUGGUAUGUGAGUGGAAAUGCCAUCGCUCAACGGAUAAAAGUUACCCUGGGGAUAACAGGCUGAUCUCCCCCAAGAGUCCACAUCGACGGGGAGGUUUGGCACCUCGAUGUCGGCUCAUCGCAUCCUGGGGCUGUAUUCGGUCCCAAGGGUUUGGCUGUUCGCCAAUUAAAGCGGUACGCGAGCUGGGUUCAGAACGUCGUGAGACAGUUCGGUCCCUAUCUGUCGUGGGCGCAGGAUAUUUGAUGGGAGCUGUUCCUAGUACGAGAGGACCGGAGCGGACGUACCUCUGGCGCACCAGUUGUUCUGCCAAGAGCAUAGCUGGGCAACUAUGUACGGAUCGGAUAAACGCUGAAAGCAUCUAAGCGUGAAGCCGACCCAAAGAUAAGAUAUCCCAUUGUUUCAAACAAGUAAGACCCCUUGAAGACUACAAGGUUGAUAGGCACGAUGUGUAAGUGGAGUGAUCCAUUCAGCAAGCGUGUACUAAUAGGUCGAGGGCUUGACCAC